UCUCAAAUCCUAGUCAUAGCUAUUAAUGAUUAAGAGAGACAAUGUGAUAGAUCCUAUCUACAAAUAACUAUUUGGAAGGCAGAAGUUUGGAGAGACAUUAACUCUUUCAGAGUACUCUGGCUGAAAAAAAAUUGUAGAAGCUUCUCCAGAAUUAAAUGUUUAAAGAACAUUAUUUGAAGGAGACAGUAAAAGAAAAGGGAUGUAACAGGUGAAACAAGACUGACCAUGUUUUAAUAAGCUGGCUAAUAGAUUUGGGUGUACAUGUGCAGGUCUGUUACCUGGGAAUACUGCGUGAUACUGAACUUUGGGGUACAAGUGAUCCUGUCACCCAGGUACUGAGCACAGUACCCAACAGGUAGUUUUUCAACCCUCUCCCUCUAGUAGUCCCCAGUGUGUAUUGUUGCCACCUCUAUGUCCAUGAGUAGCCAGUGUUUAGCUCCCACUUAUAAGUGAGAAUACAUGUUAUUUGGUUUCCUGUUCCUCCCUCAAUUCACUUAGGAUAAUUGCCUCCAACUGCAUCUGUGUUGCUGCAAUUUAUUUAUUUAUUUAUUUAUUUAUUUAUUUAUUUAUUUGAGACAAGGUGUCACUCUGUUGCCCAGGCUGGAAUGCAGUGGCACAAUCUCAGCUCACUGUAAACUCCACUCCUGGGCUCAGGUGAUCCUCCCACUUCAGCCUCCCAAAUAGCUGGGGCCACAGGUGUGCACCACCACACCUAGCUAAUUUUUUUGUAUUUUUUGUAGAGACAGGGUUUUGCCACCUUGCCCAGGCUGGUCUCAAACUCCUGGACUCAAGCAAUCUGCCUGCCUCAGCCUGUCAAAGUGUGGGAAUUACAGGCAUGAGCCACCACACCAUCCUGAUUUCAUUGCUUUUUAUGGCUGCGUAGAAUUCCAUGGUGUAUAUGUACCACAUUUUCUUUAUUCAAUCCUCCACUGAUGGCCACCUAGGUUGAUUGCAUGACUUUGCUACUGUGAAUAGUGCUACAAUGAAUAUUCAAGUGCUUAUGUCUUUUUGGUAGAACAAUUUGUUUUCUUUUGGAUAUAUACCUAGUAAUGGGAUUGCUGGGUCAAAUCAUAGUUCAGUUUUAACUUCUUUGAAAAAACCCCAAACUGUUUUCAACAGCGGCUGAACUAAUUUACAUUCCCACCAACAGUGUAUAAGCAUUUCCUUUUCUAUAUAGCCUACCAACAUCUGCCGUUUUUUGACUUUUUAAUAAUAGUUGUUCUGGGGCUGGGAGUGGUGGCUCACACAUGUAAUUCCAGCACUUUG